rnacentral:lncRNA from 1 species
ACAGGUACAAGUGCACCUUAAAUGUGAGUUCAGGGAAUCUAACUCAUCCCAUAAUUUUUUCAGAGUUGUGAAGUAUGCUGCAAUAUUGCUAUUUCCCUGAACUGUCUUAGCAACUUCCUUUUGUAGGUGAUAGAGUUUGGCUCCAUUGGAUUGUCCAAACCUAUGCUCAAGACUACUCCAAAGUUCUUUUGCAGAUUUGGAAUAGAUUACACUGUCUCCUAUCUCCUUAGUUAGAGAAUUUAAAAGCCAUGAGGUUACCAUGUCAUUGCACCUACUCCAUUGUGCAUGAUCCUUUGAAUCCAAGGCAGGUUCAUCACAAAUCCCAUUGAUGAAUGCCAACUUGUUUUUGGCUGACAAUGCAAUCAGUAUUGACCUUCUCCAUCCUGGGAAUCCUCUUCCAUCAAAAGGUGAGGUCACAAGAGUCAUCCCGGGAGCAUCUGAAGAGUGAAGAAAAUAGGGAUG